rnacentral:rRNA from 1 species
GGGUUGUGAGGUUAAGCGACUAAGCGUACACGGUGGAUGCCCUGGCAGUCAGAGGCGAUGAAGGACGUGCUAAUCUGCGAAAAGCGUCGGUAAGGUGAUAUGAACCGUUACAGCCGGCGAUGUCCGAAUGGGGAAACCCAGUGCAAUUCGUUGCACUAUCGUUAACUGAAUACAUAGGUUAACGAGGCGAACCGGGGGAACUGAAACAUCUAAGUACCCCGAGGAAAAGAAAUCAACCGAGAUUCCCCCAGUAGCGGCGAGCGAACGGGGAGCAGCCCAGAGUCUGAAUCAGCUUGUGUGUUAGUGGAACGGUCUGGAAAGUCCGACGGUACAGGGUGAUAGUCCCGUACACCAAAAUGCACAGGUUGUGAACUCGAAGAGUAGGGCGGGACACGUGGUAUCCUGUCUGAAUAUGGGGGGACCAUCCUCCAAGGCUAAAUACUCCUGACUGACCGAUAGUGAACCAGUACCGUGAGGGAAAGGCGAAAAGAACCCCGGCGAGGGGAGUGAAAAAGAACCUGAAACCGUGUACGUACAAGCAGUGGGAGCACCUUCGGGUGUGACUGCGUACCUUUUGUAUAAUGGGUCAGCGACUUAUAUUCUGUAGCAAGGUUAACCGUAUAGGGGAGCCGCAGGGAAACCGAGUCUUAACUGGGCGUUAAGUUGCAGGGUAUAGACCCGAAACCCGGUGAUCUAGCCAUGGGCAGGUUGAAGGUUGGGUAACACUAACUGGAGGACCGAACCGACUAAUGUUGAAAAAUUAGCGGAUGACUUGUGGCUGGGGGUGAAAGGCCAAUCAAACCGGGAGAUAGCUGGUUCUCCCCGAAAGCUAUUUAGGUAGCGCCUCGUGAACUCAUCUUCGGGGGUAGAGCACUGUUUCGGCUAGGGGGUCAUCCCGACUUACCAACCCGAUGCAAACUACGAAUACCGAAGAAUGUUAUCACGGGAGACACACGGCGGGUGCUAACGUCCGUCGUGAAGAGGGAAACAACCCAGACCGCCAGCUAAGGUCCCAAAGUCACAGUUAAGUGGGAAACGAUGUGGGAAGGCACAGACAGCCAGGAUGUUGGCUUAGAAGCAGCCAUCAUUUAAAGAAAGCGUAAUAGCUCACUGGUCGAGUCGGCCUGCGCGGAAGAUGUAACGGGGCUAAACUGUGCACCGAAGCUGCGGCAGCGACACUUAGGUGUUGUUGGGUAGGGGAGCGUUCUGUAAGCCUGCGAAGGUGGCCUGUGAGGGUUGCUGGAGGUAUCAGAAGUGCGAAUGCUGACAUAAGUAACGAUAAUGCGGGUGAAAAGCCCGCACGCCGGAAGACCAAGGGUUCCUGUCCAACGUUAAUCGGGGCAGGGUGAGUCGACCCCUAAGGCGAGGCCGAAAGGCGUAGUCGAUGGGAAACAGGUUAAUAUUCCUGUACUUGGUGUUACUGCGAAGGGGGGACGGAGAAGGCUAUGUUAGCCGGGCGACGGUUGUCCCGGUUUAAGCAUGUAGGCGGAGGUUCCAGGUAAAUCCGGUACCUUUUAACGCUGAGGUGUGAUGACGAGGCACUACGGUGCUGAAGUAACAAAUGCCCUGCUUCCAGGAAAAGCCUCUAAGCAUCAGGUAACAUUGAAUCGUACCCCAAACCGACACAGGUGGUCAGGUAGAGAAUACCAAGGCGCUUGAGAGAACUCGGGUGAAGGAACUAGGCAAAAUGGUGCCGUAACUUCGGGAGAAGGCACGCUGAUAUGUAGGUGAAGCCCCUGCGGGUGGAGCUGAAAUCAGUCGAAGAUACCAGCUGGCUGCAACUGUUUAUUAAAAACACAGCACUGUGCAAACACGAAAGUGGACGUAUACGGUGUGACGCCUGCCCGGUGCCGGAAGGUUAAUUGAUGGGGUUAUCCGUAAGGAGAAGCUCUUGAUCGAAGCCCCGGUAAACGGCGGCCGUAACUAUAACGGUCCUAAGGUAGCGAAAUUCCUUGUCGGGUAAGUUCCGACCUGCACGAAUGGCGUAAUGAUGGCCAGGCUGUCUCCACCCGAGACUCAGUGAAAUUGAACUCGCUGUGAAGAUGCAGUGUACCCGCGGCAAGACGGAAAGACCCCGUGAACCUUUACUAUAGCUUGACACUGAACAUUGAGCCUUGAUGUGUAGGAUAGGUGGGAGGCUUUGAAGCGUGGACGCCAGUCUGCGUGGAGCCAACCUUGAAAUACCACCCUUUAAUGUUUGAUGUUCUAACGUUGGCCCCUUAUCGGGGUUGCGGACAGUGUCUGGUGGGUAGUUUGACUGGGGCGGUCUCCUCCCAAAGAGUAACGGAGGAGCACGAAGGUUAGCUAAUCCUGGUCGGACAUCAGGAGGUUAGUGCAAUGGCAUAAGCUAGCUUGACUGCGAGCGUGACGGCGCGAGCAGGUGCGAAAGCAGGUCAUAGUGAUCCGGUGGUUCUGAAUGGAAGGGCCAUCGCUCAACGGAUAAAAGGUACUCCGGGGAUAACAGGCUGAUACCGCCCAAGAGUUCAUAUCGACGGCGGUGUUUGGCACCUCGAUGUCGGCUCAUCACAUCCUGGGGCUGAAGUAGGUCCCAAGGGUAUGGCUGUUCGCCAUUUAAAGUGGUACGCGAGCUGGGUUUAGAACGUCGUGAGACAGUUCGGUCCCUAUCUGCCGUGGGCGCUGGAGAAUUGAGGGGGGCUGCUCCUAGUACGAGAGGACCGGAGUGGACGCAUCACUGGUGUUCGGGUUGUCAUGCCAAUGGCAUUGCCCGGUAGCUAAAUGCGGAAGAGAUAAGUGCUGAAAGCAUCUAAGCACGAAACUUGCCCCGAGAUGAGUUCUCCCUGACUCCUUGAGAGUCCUGAAGGAACGUUAAAGACGAUGACGUUGAUAGGUCGGGUGUGUAAGCGUAGCGAUACGUUGAGCUAACCGAUACUAAUGAACCGUGAGGCUUAACCUUACAACGCCGAAGGUGUUU